CGACGCGGAUUGUCGUACGUUCAUCAGUUAAUUAGAUAAAUUUUACGUCUCAGCAUAAAUUUAUCGCAAAAAAACAUUUAUCAUCAGAAAUGUCAAAGGACACAAUUUGUCAAUAUAUAAAAGUCAGCAAUCCGCAUCUCGUCACAUACAAGCUUGCAGAACUUCAGAAAAUAACAACCGCUUCAAGAUAUAAAAUAAAAACAUGUCGAAAAUAAUUUUAUUGUUAUCAAUUUUCGUAUCGGUUGUUAUCUAUUCUGGUGUGUAUGCAGAAUGUCCUGGCGGUUGGUGCCAUCCAGUAAAAGGAUAUGGCUGUUGUGAAGGAAAUCAAUGCACUGAAUGGCUGAGUCAAGGUGUAUGCAUUACUCAUGCGGAAGCCAAACUGCAACGUACAUUUAUGUUAGGGAAAUAAUUAUAACAAUACAAUGAAAGUUUAUAAAUGUAGAAUUUAGAAUUUUGUUUAUUAAUGCCAAGGCACAGGCCAAAUGGCAAAUUUUAUAACAUAGUAAUUACAUUUAUUACAAAAGAACAUAUAGUUGUGAGUACAUAGUACAACUACAUAAAAGAAGAAAUAUAAAUGUAUUUUAUAAAUUAAUAAAAAUCUCUCAAUUACAAAAAAAA